rnacentral:rRNA from 1 species
AGUGAACGCUGGCGGCAGGCCUAACACAUGCAAGUCGAGCGGCAGCGCGGGGGCAACCCUGGCGGCGAGCGGCGGACGGGUGAGGAAUUCGUCGGAAUCUGCCUUUUUGUGGGGGAUAACGUAGGGAAACUUACGCUAAUACCGCAUACGUCCUACGGGAGAAAGUGGGGGACCGCAAGGCCUCACGCAGAAAGAUGAGCCGACGACCGAUUAGCUAGUUGGUGGGGUAAAGGCCCACCAAGGCGACGAUCGGUAGCUGGUCUGAGAGGAUGAACAGCCAACCCUGGGCCUGAGCCCGGGCCCAGCUCCCUCGGGGGGCCGGCGGUGGGAAAUUUUGGCCAUUGGGGGCAGGCCGAACCAGCCAUGCCGCGUGUGUGAAGAAGGCCUUCGGGUUGUAAAGCACUUUUGUCCGGAAAGAAAUCCCUGGAGCUAAUACCUUCGGGGGAUGACGGUACCGGAAGAAUAAGCACCGGCUAACUUCGUG